UGGGGAAUAUUGCACAAUGGGCGAAAGCCUGAUGCAGCAACGCCGCGUGAGUGAUGAAGGUCUUCGGAUUGUAAAGCUCUGUCUUUUGGGACGAUAAUGACGGUACCAAAGGAGGAAGCCACGGCUAACUACGUGCCAGCAGCCGCGGUAAUACGUAGGUGGCGAGCGUUGUCCGGAUUUACUGGGCGUAAAGGGUGCGUAGGCGGAUGUUUAAGUGAGAUGUGAAAUACCCGGGCUUAACUUGGGUGCUGCAUUUCAAACUGGAUAUCUAGAGUGCAGGAGAGGAGAAUGGAAUUCCUAGUGUAGCGGUGAAAUGCAUAGAGAUUAGGAAGAACACCAGUGGCGAAGGCGAUUCUCUGGACUGUAACUGACGCUGAGGCACGAAAGCGUGGGUAGCAAACAGGAUUAGAUACCCUGGUAGUCCACGCCGUAAACGAUGAGUACUAGGUGUAGGAGGUAUCGACCCCUUCUGUGCCGCAGUAAACACAUUAAGUACUCCGCCUGGGAAGUACGAUCGCAAGAUUAAAACUCU
rnacentral:rRNA from 1 species